UAGUUCCCGCGCUGCACAGGCUAGAGCAGGCGAAGAAGGUCAUCUUGUCUAGCAACUUGAGUUCAUUUUUGCUUUUUUAGUUUCAAAUCCUUGUUUGGCAUACUUAUUCGGUGUUUUGGGUGUUGAUUUUAGGAGAAGACGUUGAUGCAAUGGUUCAGAUGCAGAGAAAUCUCAGUACAGGAAAGAGAAGCAGUGCGCUUUAUUUGUUGCACACAACCUGUUUGCUCUUAUGCCCAAGCAACAAAAAGAAAAGAAAAAAUAUUGAUGGAUGUGUCUCGGUAUUGUUGGUUGUGGGGGAAGGAGUACUGGUGAUGCUGCUCCAUCUCUCUUCGGUUGGUGUUUGUUUCCCACAACAUGUUUGUGUUAAUGCUUGGAAGGGUGAUGUUGGAUAGAGUACCGAACUAUGUAUAGUUAGUGAAAUUUUUAGCCCCUCCCAGUUGCCACUCAUCUCUCUCUCUCUACACUGAACUCUCUUGGGGAGGCUUUGAACUUCUUGGAAGUUGCACCAAAAUUAUCUGCAAAAGUAGUUUUUGUGCUUGGCUUUUGAAAAAAAUGUUGUUUGAGGCCACUUCUAUAUGUGAUGGAUCAAUUGGUUUAAGCAGUGCUGAACUAUACUUUGACAAUGUGUGAAAUACAGGCCCGCCCUCAUCAUUCAUCCAUAAUUUAUUGCUUGUUGAAAGAAACAAAACUAAGUUGAUGUAUUGCUUUCUCGUAUGUGAAUGAGAUUUCAUUUAAAAAAAGUAUAGUAGAAGAGAAAUUGCUUCGUUGUUGUGCUUGCACAACUAUGUAAUUUUUUGUUUUUAUUUGUUUUUGCGAAGGUGAAAAUGUUGUGUUUGAGAAGGUCAAAGUAUGUUGAGUACAUAUUGUUAUUUUUGCAACCACCGUAGCCAAACAAUUGUAAAUUUUAGUAUGAAUGUGACUCAAAGUUCUCUGGAAAAUCAGCAAUAAAAACUCUGGAUGUCUAGAAUGUACUAAGGGAUACAGGCCAGGGUGUUGAUUUUAUACAGAUUUUGCACCGGACUGUAACUGUGUAUAAUUUGCAGCACCUUGUGAUAGGUGGAAACUUGUUUUUUCCUUGUGAUAUUACCACUUCAAAAGUUGUUGAGAAACUUCUGUUUCUCCUAUUGCUGCACUGCGAACAAUAUAUACACAAAAAGGAUAUAAUACAUACUCACGAAUUCACAUAAAAGUCCUACAUGCUUAAAAAACACAUUGGUGUUCAUUUAUCGUCAUUUUAGUCCAUUAUCGUAAUAAGACACACAAAAAUUGGUACAAAAAGAUAAGACAUUUUAAAAAAAUUGUGUAAAAAGAGAUAGAGGGUUAGUGCAAAAUAAUUGUUAACAAAAGCCUCACCCAUAAAAACUUUUAACUUUAGAAGUUCAAAUUCAAUAAACCUGAGAGUUCAGGAAUAAUAAUAAAAGCAAAAAAGUGACACCCAG
rnacentral:lncRNA from 1 species